UUACGGCCACAUCACGUUGAAACCACGAUUCCCGUACGAUCACUGAAGUCAAGCAACGUCGAGCCUGGUCAAUACCUAGAUGAGUGACCACUUGCGGAUACCAGGUGCUGUAAG